AUUGAACGCUGGCGGCAUGACCUUACACAUGCAAGUCGAACGGCAGCGCGGGGCAACCUGGCGGCGAGUGGCGAACGGGUGAGUAAUAUAUCGGAACAUACCCUAGAGUGGGGGAUAAACGUAGCGAAAGUUACGCUAAUACCGCAUACGCACUAAGGUGGAAAGUGGGGGAUUCGCAAGAACCUCAUGCUCAUGGAGUAGGCCGAUAUCUGAUUAGCUAGUUGGUGAGGUAAAGGCUCACCAAGGCGACGAUCAGUAGCUGGUUUGGAGAGAACGACCAGCCACACUGGAACUGACGACACGGUCCAGACUCCUACGGGAGGCGAGCAGUGGGGAAUUUUUGGACAAUGGGGGCAACCCUGAUCCAGCAAAUGCCGCGUGAGUGAAGAAGGCCUU
rnacentral:rRNA from 1 species